rnacentral:rRNA from 1 species
CCUACGGGGGGCAGCAGUGAGGAAUAUUGGUCAAUGGUCGGGAGACUGAACCAGCCAAGCCGCGUGAGGGAUGACGGUACAGAGUAUCGUAAACCUCUUUUGACAGGGAACAAAGGCGGGGACGUGUCCCCGGAUGAGUGUACCUGAAGAAAAAGCAUCGGCUAACUCCGUGCCAGCAGCCGCGGUAAUACGGAGGCUGCGAGCGUUAUCCGGCUUUAUUGGGUUUAAAGGGUGCGCGGGCGGUCUUUUAAGUCAGCGGUAAAAUGCCGGGGCUCAACCCCGGCCCGCCGUUGAAACUGGGGUUCUUGAGUGGGCGAGAAGUAUGCGGAAUGCGUGGUGUAGCGGUGAAAUGCAUAGAUAUCGCGCAGAACUCCGAUUGGGAAGGCAGCAUACCGGCGCCCAACUGACGCUGAGGCACGAAAGCGUGGGGAUCGAACAGGAUUAGAUACCCUGGUAGUC